AUCAUUGCAAGAAGUCUAAAUAUCCUCUCUCCCACUACUUGUGCACCAACAAGAAAACAAAGGCUGACCAGCAGGUUCCACACUAAUUGGACAAUGAGAAACUGGACAUUACUAAGUCGGCUGCUGGAUGAAGUGCAGUCCCAACCUAUGGUCAUAGGGAAGACUUGCUCUCCGCUUUGUUCAUGUUGAGAAUUGUGGUGUUGGGGGCCGCAGCGGAUAGGGUGUGGGUGGAAGAACAAUCAGAGUUUGUCUGCGACACUAAGAUGACAGGAUGUCGACCGAGUGACGCAGCUCUCUAAGGCACUGCAUCUCAGUGCAAGAGGCGUCACUAAGGUCCCUGGUUUGAAUCCCGGCUGAAUCACAUCCGUCCGUGAUUGGGAGUCCCAUAGGGCGGUACACAAUUGGCCCAGCUACGUUCAGGUUUUGGCCGGGGUAGGCCGUCAUUGUAAAUAAGACUUUGUUCUAAAUGGACUUGCCUAGUUAAAUAAAGGUUAAAAAAGA